rnacentral:rRNA from 1 species
GAUGAACGCUGGCGGCGUGCCUAAUACAUGCAAGUCGAGCGAACUGAUUAGAAGCUUGCUUCUAUGACGUUAGCGGCGGACGGGUGAGUAACACGUGGGCAACCUGCCUGUAAGACUGGGAUAACUUCGGGAAACCGAAGCUAAUACCGGAUAGGAUCUUCUCCUUCAUGGGAGAUGAUUGAAAGAUGGUUUCGGCUAUCACUUACAGAUGGGCCCGCGUGGCAUUAGCUAGUUGGUGAGGUAACGGCUCACCAAGGCAACGAUGCAUAGCCGACCUGAAGGGGUGAUCGGCCACACUGGGACUGCGCCACGGCCCAGACUCCUACGGGAGGCAGCAGUAGGGAAUCUUCCGCAAUGGACGAAAGUCUGACGGAGCAACGCCGCGUGAGUGAUGAAGGCUUUCGGGUCGUAAAACUCUGUUGUUAGGGAAGAACAAGUACAAGAGUAACUGCUUGUACCUUGACGGUACCUAACCAGAAAGCCACGGCCAACUACGUGCCAGCAGCCGCCGUAAGAC